UAGGUCCCAAGGGUAUGGCUGUUCGCCAUUUAAAGUGGUACGCGAGCUGGGUUUAGAACUUCGUGAGACAGUUCGGUCCCUAUCUGCCGUGGGCGUUGGAAGAUUGAGAGGGGUUGCUCCUAGUACGAGAGGACAGGAGUGAACGCACCACUGGUGUUCGGGUUGUCAUGCCAAUGGCAUUGCCCGGUAGCUAAGUUCUGAAGAGAUAACCGCUGAAAGAAUCUAAGCGGGAAACUUGCCUCGAGAUGAGUAUUCCCUGUCGCUUUAAGCGACCUAAAGGAACGUUUA
rnacentral:rRNA from 1 species